rnacentral:rRNA from 1 species
CACGUAGGGUGCGAGCGUUGUCCGGAAUUAUUGGGCGUAAAGAGCUCGUAGGCGGUGUGUCGCGUCGGCCGUGAAAACCUGCAGCUUAACUGUGGGCUUGCGGUCGAUACGGGCAUCACUGGAGUUCGGCAGGGGAGACUGGAAUUCCUGGUGUAGCGGUGAAAUGCGCAGAUAUCAGGAGGAACACCGGUGGCGAAGGCGGGUCUCUGGGCCGAUGACUGACGCUGAGGAGCGAAAGCG